UGGCGACCGGCGCACGGGUGAGUAACACGUAUCCAACCUGCCGAUGACUCGGGGAUAGCCUUUCGAAAGAAAGAUUAAUACCCGAUGGCAUAGUUCUUCCGCAUGGUGGAACUAUUAAAGAAUUUCGGUCAUCGAUGGGGAUGCGUUCCAUUAGGUUGUUGGCGGGGUAACGGCCCACCAAGCCUUCGAUGGAUAGGGGUCCUGAGAGGAAGGUCCCCCACAUUGGAACUGAGACACGGUCCAG
rnacentral:rRNA from 1 species